rnacentral:rRNA from 1 species
UACAGAGGCGGCAAGCGUUGUUCGGAUUUACUGGGCGUAAAGGGUGCGUAGGCGGUUCCGUGUGUCGGAUGUGAAAGCCCACAGCUCAACUGUGGAACUGCAUUCGAAACUACGGUGCUAGAGUACGAGAGAGGAGAGCGGAAUUCUUGGUGUAGCAGUGAAAUGCGUAGAUAUCAAGAAGAACACCGGUGGCGAAGGCGGCUCUCUGGAUCGAUACUGACGCUGAGGCACGAAAGCAGGGGGAGCAAACAGG